rnacentral:rRNA from 1 species
AUACGUAGGGAGCGAGCGUUGUCCGGAUUUACUGGGUGUAAAGGGUGCGUAGGCGGCCUUUUAAGUCUGAUGUGAAAGCCCCCGGCUUAACCGGGGAGGGUCAUUGGAAACUGGGAGGCUUGAGUGCAGAAGAGGAGAGUGGAAUUCCAAGUGUAGCGGUGAAAUGCGUAGAGAUUUGGAGGAACACCAGUGGCGAAGGCGACUUUCUGGUCUGUUACUGACGCUGAGGCGCGAAAGCGUGGGGAGCAAACAGGAUUAGAUACCCUGGUAGUCCACGCCGUAAACGAUGAGUGCUAAGUGUUAGGGGGUUUCCGCCCCUUAGUGCUGCAGCUAACGCAUUAAGCACUCCGCCUGGGGAGUACGGUCGCAAGACUGAA